UUGGCUCCCGCCCCGCACAUGCACCCUGCAAGUCCCUGGCCCGCACGGUCCCGGCUGGCCCGCCGAAACCGGCUCGUGGCAACACCGCCUGGGCCUGGGCGCCGCAGCAGCCAGCGCCCGCGGCCUCUCCUUCGCGGCCCUUCCUCUCCUCCCCGCGGCCUCGCCCGCCUCCCUCCGGCCCGGCCCAGCACCCGCAGGCGAACCGAGCUCGGCGCGGCCGCGUCCUGCUCGCCUCGUGCGAGUAGAAUGAGCGGAUAAUGCCCCCUGCAAACGGGCUGCUUGCAAGCUAAAGGAAGAGUCCUUGCAGACAGCUUUCUGAGAAAGGCUCUUCCUUCCUACACCUCUUAAUGCUGAUUGCAGUGGAUCUUAAGCUUGUCUGGCAUAAAAAGUAAGCUCAGAAAAAGAAGAUAAAAUAAUCUUCCCUACGACCACCACCAUCAAGAAUGAAGGACAGUUUUUCAGUGUUUACCAGUUCCACAGGAAAUUCAGUGAAGUCAAACAUCUGUGGCUAAUGAUAGAAAGGUUUGACUAGCUGUAACAUGUAAAAAGCAGCAAGGUGACUGAACACAUUCAUUGGAGAUACACUUUAAAAAACUCAAGUCAAAAUCAAGGACUUGCACUCUGCAACAAGAAUGAAAUAAAGAAGGUAGGUCCUUAGUUCUUAUCAACCACUCAGUCUGAAGGAAAAUUUACACAUUUACAGUGUGGAAUAAAAAGUGUGGUGAAUAUUAUAACUCUGUUAUACUAAUACCUGACCAAAUA